rnacentral:rRNA from 1 species
CCUACGGGUGGCAGCAGUGAGGAAUAUUGGUCAAUGGGCGGGAGCCUGAACCAGCCAAGCCGCGUGAGGGAAGAAGGUACAGCGUAUUGUAAACCUCUUUUGUCAGGGAACAAAGGCGGGGACUAGUCCCCGGAUGAGGGUACCUGAAGAAAAAGCAUCGGCUAACUCCGUGCCAGCAGCCGCGGUAAUACGGAGGAUGCGAGCGUUAUCCGGAUUUAUUGGGUUUAAAGGGUGCGUAGGCGGCCUGUUAAGUCAGCGGUAAAAGCCCGGGGCUCAACCCCGGCGAGCCGGUGAAACGGGCGGGCGUGAGUUGGAGAGAAGUACGCGGAAUGCGCGGUGUAGCGGUGAAAUGCUUAGAUAGCGCGCAGAACCCCGAUUGCGAAGGCAGCGUACCGGCUCCACACUGACGCUGAGGCACGAAAGCGUGGGUAUCGAACAGGAUUAGAUACCCCUGUAGUC